AAGUCGAGCGGAAAGGCCCUUCGGGGUACUCGAGCGGCGAACGGGUGAGUAACACGUGAGUAAUCUGCCCCAGGCUCUGGGAUAGCCACCGGAAACGGUGAUUAAUACCGGAUACGACAACCGAUUGCAUGAUCUGGUUGUGGAAAGUUUUUCGGCCUGGGAUGUGCUCGCGGCCUAUCAGCUUGUUGGUGAGGUAAUGGCUCACCAAGGCUUCGACGGGUAGCCGGCCUGAGAGGGUGACCGGCCACACUGGGACUGAGACACGGCCCAGACUCCUACGGGAGGCAGCAGUGGGGAAUAUUGGACAAUGGGCGGAAGCCUGAUCCAGCAACGCCGCGUGAGGGAUGACGGCCUUCGGGUUGUAAACCUCUUUCAGCACAGACGAAGCGCAAGUGACGGUAUGUGCAGAAGAAGGACCGGCCAACUACGUGCCAGCAGCCGCGGUAAUACGUAGGGUCCGAGCGUUGUCCGGAAUUAUUGGGCGUAAAGGGCUCGUAGGCGGUCUGUCGCGUCGGGAGUGAAAACCAGGUGCUUAACACCUGGCCUGCUUUCGAUACGGGCAGACUAGAGGUACUCAGGGGAGAAUGGAAUUCCUGGUGUAGCGGUGAAAUGCGCAGAUAUCAGGAGGAACACCGGUGGCGAAGGCGGUUCUCUGGGAGUAUCCUGACGCUGAGGAGCGAAAGUGUGGGGAGCGAACAGGAUUAGAUACCCUGGUAGUCCACACCGUAAACGUUGGGCGCUAGGUGUGGGACACAUUCCACGUGUUCCGUGCCGCAGCUAACGCAUUAAGCGCCCCGCCUGGGGAGUACGGCCGCAAGGCUAAAACUCAAGGAAUUGACGGGGGCCCGCACAAGCGGCGGAGCAUGCGGAUUAAUUCGAUGCAACGCGAAGAACCCUUACCUGGGUUUGACAUACACCGGAAAGCCGUAGAGAUACGGGCCCCUUUUUAGUCGGUGUAACAGUGGUGGCAUGGCUGUCGUCAGCUCGUGUCGUGAGAUUGUU
rnacentral:rRNA from 2 species